rnacentral:rRNA from 1 species
GUGGUAGGGGACAACAGUUGGAAACGACUGCUAAUACCCUAUGAGCCCUAUGGGGGAAAGAUUUAUCGCCAUGAGAUGUGCCCGCGUUAGAUUAGCUAGUUGGUAAGGUAAUGGCUUACCAAGGCGACGAUCUAUAGCUGGUCUGAGAGGAUGAUCAGCCACACUGGGACUGAGACACGGCCCAGACUCCUACGGGAGGCAGCAGUGGGGAAUAUUGGACAAUGGGGGCAACCCUGAUCCAGCCAUGCCGCGUGUGUGAUGACGGCCUUAGGGUUGUAAAGCACUUUCAGCAGUGAAGAUAAUGACAUUAACUGCAGAAGAAGCCCCGGCUAACUUCGUGCCAGCAGCCGCGGUAAUACGAAGGGGGCUAGCGUUGUUCGGAAUCACUGGGCGUAAAGAGUACGUAGGCGGACUGAUAAGUUAGGGGUGAAAUCCCAAGGCUCAACCUUGGAACUGCCUUUAAUACUGUCAGUCUUGAGAUCGAGAGAGGUGAGUGGAACUCCGAGUGUAGAGGUGAAAUUCGUAGAUAUUCGGAAGAACACCAGUGGCGAAGGCGGCUCACUGGCUCGAUACUGACGCUGAGGUACGAAAGCGUGGGGAGCAAACAGGACAGAGAGAUUUGUGGUUCCUUUCGGGGACGUCAGACAGGUGCU